rnacentral:rRNA from 1 species
GAUGAACGCUGGCGGCGUGCCUAACACAUGCAAGUCGAGCGAACAGACGAGGAGCUUGCUCCUCUGACGUUAGCGGCGGACGGGUGAGUAACACGUGGAUCACCUACCUAUAAGACUGGGAUAACUUCGGGAAACCGGAUCUAAUACCGGAUAAUAUAUUCAACCGCAUGGUUCAAUAGUGAAAGACGGUUUUGCUGUCUCUUAUAGAUGGAUCCGCGCCGCAUUAGCUAGUUGGUAAGGUAACGGCCUACCAAGGCAACGAUGCGUAGCCGACCUGAGAGGGUGAUCGGCCACCCUGGAACUGAGACACGGUCCAGACUCCUACGGGAGGCAGCAGUAGGGAAUCUUCGGCAAUGGGCGAAAGCCUGACGCAGCAACGCCGCGUGAGUGAUGAAGGUCUUCGGAUCGUAAAGCCCUGUUAUUGGGGAAGAACAAAUGUGUACGUAAAUAAAGACGUCGUGACGGUACCUAAUGAAAAAGCCACGGCUAACUACGUG